GCUCAAUUCGGCAGCACGUGCACUAAAACGAACCAUACAGAGAAGAUGAAGCAUGGCUUCUGCUCAAGGAUGACACACAAAUUCGUGAAGCGUUUCAUAUUAAA
rnacentral:snRNA from 1 species